rnacentral:rRNA from 1 species
GAUGAACGCUGGCGGCGCGCCUAAUACAUGCAAGUCGAACGAGGUCUUCGGACCUAGUGGCGAACGGGUGAGUAACACGUUGGUACCUACCCCGAAGUGGGGAAUAACUGCCCGAAAGGGUGGCCAAUACCGCAUAAUACCGCAAGGUUAAAGCAGUAAUGCGCUUCGGGAGGGGCCUGCGUCCCAUUAGCUAGUUGGUAGGGUAAUGGCCUACCAAGGCGACGAUGGGUAGCUGAAUCGAGAGGUUGACCAGCCACACUGGGACUGAGAUACGGCCCAGACUCCUACGGGAGGCAGCAGUAAGGAAUCUUCCACAAUGGACGAAAGUCUGAUGGAGCAACGCCGCGUGCAGGAUGACGGCCUUCGGGUUGUAAACUGCUUUUAUACGGGAAGAUUAUGACGGUACCGUAUGAAUAAGGACCGGCUAACUACGUGCCAGCCGCCGCCGUAA